UUUAUUUCCAGUGUGCCUUUUUCCACUCUGUGUUGCCUUAGGUGUAGCUUGACAUCCUUCUCUCUGUGUUCUUCAGCCUAUUGUUACUCUAGACAACGCAUCUCUGGAAGACCCGUCUCCAUGGCCAAAUGCUUACAGAGCUAUCUUGGCCUUUUACAGGAUAUGCAGGAAACUGAGAAGGUUUAGAAGGAUCAGUGGGGUAAAUAGAUGAGUUUGGGCAGCACCAGCUGCUGACAGGAUGAUUUUGAAGAGCUUCCUUAGGAAACCUUUCUUUAGAAACAAAUAAAACGGACUUCCUGGUACAUCUGCAAACAUCCCAGCAGCUGGCCAUUGUCACACUGGAGUCUUCGAACAAGCAGCUGGGUUUCCUCUUUGGAAUCUGCCAGUUCCUCCCUGUGACUCUUCUGACCACUGCUCUCUGUCCCUUGUCUGCUGAUAGAGGUGAUGGCUCGUUUGCCAGCUGUCAUCUGAGGACAGAAAAAGCAGGGUCUUCCUCCCCUUUGCUCCAGAGGAAUAACUGCCGCAUAUGUUCAUUCUCCAGUCUUACUUAAUUCUAGUCAGCAGUUUGCUUUUGUAUCAUUUGUCUCCAUUCCUCUGGCACUCCACUUGUAAUUAGAGAAUCUUUGUAGUAUUCUAAAGACAAAGAUUCUGGAGAAAUUUUAUGCAUAGGUGUCAAGAAGUCUGUUUCUCCUUGCCGGAGGCAGGGACAGUUGUGACCUCGUGGGUGGCUGGGUGGAGAAAUACGUCUGUUCUUGCAAAUGAGGAGUGCCGCUGGUGAGCACUUUUGCUGUUGUGUCAAAAUACGAAUGAACGUCCGGCUGGCUUUGCAGAGAGAUGGAAGAAAGAGAAGAGAGAUCUGAACCUCCCAUCAACUAGUUUAUUGAGAACAUCUUCGGUGAGGAACAAGACUUCUAAGGGCACUCAGCAGAGGGUCAAAAAAGCCGGACUCCAAGGAGAGCAGGCAUCGCGCGGAAGCAUUUCUGUUUAGGUCUCUAGGAAAAGAACUGAAAAAGACUGUGGAAAAGAAAGAAAAGGAGAAGUAUCUGUAAGUAGAGAAGAAUGAAUCAGUCCAUGUGUGUGGACUGCUGCUCUCCAACAAGCUUCCAAAGACGUCUCGGGAAGGCAUCUAGGGGAGCAGGCACUGCGCUUGCAGGACACGCUCUGCUCCGUGAGCUGGCAGUGCAUCACAGCUUGGAAACUUCACCAGCCGCAGAACUGGGGAAAGCUCAGUGAGUGCAGGUAAGGUCCACAAAAUGGACUGAGGCCAUUCUUUCCUCCUCCAAGGAAAAGAAGGAAAAAAGUACAAUACAGAGUAAGGAUUUGUAAGCAUCAUCCCAUGAGGAGCAGCGGUUGUGGGUAACCAAUAGGCAGCUGCACAGGCAGCUCUGCUCCCUUCCUGCCCUGUUCCUCACCCUUCUGCUUGUUAAUUUACCUGUUGGUGCAUUAAAGACUCAUCAUAGCUAUGAACUCCUGCAGAGCUCUCCUUAAUCACCAACUAAGAACACUGCACAAGACGCUGAUGCCUGUAGUUUGAAAAGCCAUUAUUGGGUCAGUAGUAAUACUAUUUCUGCAUUAGCUAACUCCUCCAACAAUGUCAUUUUAAUCACCUUAGUGUAUAAUGUGGACCCAAUUCUGGUCUACCAAGCACCGUACCUCCAACCUAACCCUCUCUUGGGAUACACAACUUGAGGCCUAUGACUAAUAGUUUGUUCUUCUGAUGUCUGUAAGCCCGAGUGCCUUUCUGAUCCAACCGCCUCAGUCAAAGACAGAAGACUUGCCUUGGCAGAGAGAGAGACGAGGUGAAAUGUAGAGGCCUGUGAUACACAGAAAAUCACAGCUGCUCUCCCUUGUCCAGCCUGGCUUUCCACUCCAUGGGUCUGUGUCCCCUGCCACCCAGCCCCAGCUGCUCCUUCCCAAAGCGUGAGGUAAUGAGAAGGGACUAACCGCAGCAACUCAUUAAGCCAGGUUUGUUGGAAGACAGAUUGUCAUGUUAAACAAAUAUAUUUUUAAAAUCUAAAUAUCAUUCCCUGGAUCGUACCCCAUCUGGGCCAUUAAAUCUGAAAGGGGUAAGUAACUACAGCUGCGUCAGAGCAGAGCUCAGAAGCUGAUUUUCACUAUUUGUACUACUAGCAAUUGGCAACAACUCCUUUUCCAAACAUCUUUUUCUUCUCAUUUUUCAGUGCUGCACUAUGUAGAUUGCCAGCACGGCAGGGGGAUGCACACUGCUAAACAGUCUUUGGGAUGUACAAAAAGCAACCCUGCAAAUGCAUUUCCUAAACCCAUCAUAUCCUCUUUAUUUUCACUAAGCUUUGUUACUUGAUGACAGAGGAUGGGAAGGGCUGCUCAUUGUUAGUCAACUGGUUUUUGGUAAAUUAUGCAAAUUUUAUCAAUCUAAUGAGAAGCUGGUGUGGAAACAAAGCGAGACAGCUCAGCUUUCAGGGCUCCAGCGCUGCAAGUUUCCAACUUGCAAGAAAACAAGCAUCUUCUUCAAGAAAGGGGAUAAACCCCCAAUUUUGAGUUAAUCCAGCAUUUCUUUUGAUGGGUCCCUUGGUAAUCUGAUUAAUUUUGAGUACAGAUGUUUAUGCUUUCCUUCACAGAAUACCCCCAGUAUUCUGGAGCAGGCUCAUCGUGCCGUAUUUCCUCCAUGCCACACCAUUCUUGUUAUGGUUGUGCAGCAACAUAUGCUAAGGCCUUAUUACAAGGGAUUCCUAUAAAUGGCAUACAGGAUUAAUAAUGUAUUUAUAACACAACUUUGUUUUAGUAUAAAGUGAUCUAUAAAUUUGUAAUAAAUGUUUUAUAAUGUUUUUGUAGCCUGUUAUAAAUGAUAAAUGGGAGACUAUAGAUGCCACAUCAAAUAUUCAUGCUGCAUUGUGUGCAUUAUUAUGCUGUUACUGUUCAGGAAACCAUUAAUAAUAAAGUGAAUGGAGAUGUAAAAGUUGCUGACAUGCCCAGCAAGCCAUUUAUAAUGAAACGUAUAAUCCUUACCAUAAAGUAAAUACAUUGGCCAGUGAUUGUUGAUGAAACGGAAACACACUGAAUUAUUUGUGAGGUAUUUAUAUAUUAAUGUAUAUUAUCCAUAUCAUGUCAUAGAAAUGCCAUUAAUAUAUUAUAUUAUAUGUAUUAUUAAUUAUUUUUACCUAAUUUAUAAGCAGGUCUUUAAGU